rnacentral:rRNA from 1 species
AUUGAACGCUGGCGGAAUGCUUUACACAUGCAAGUCGAACGGCAGCACGGGGCAACCUGGUGGCGAGUGGCGAACGGGUGAGUAAUAUAUCGGAACGUGCCCAAUCGUGGGGGAUAACGUAGCGAAAGUUACGCUAAUACCGCAUACGAUCUACGGAUGAAAGCGGGGGAUCGCAAGACCUCGCGCGAAUGGAGCGGCCGAUAUCAGAUUAGGUAGUUGGUGGGGUAAAGGCUCACCAAGCCAACGAUCUGUAGCUGGUCUGAGAGGACGACCAGCCACACUGGAACUGAGACACGGUCCAGACUCCUACGGGAGGCAGCAGUGGGGAAUUUUGGACAAUGGGCGCAAGCCUGAUCCAGCCAUUCCGCGUGCAGGAUGAAGGCCUCGGUUGUAAC